GCCUGCGUGGCUCAACGGUUGGAGCAUCUUCCUUUGUUUGCCAGAACGCUGCGUGGCCUGAGGACGGCGCGGGCUCGACUCCCGCCACGGGCA